UACGAAGGGUGCAAACGUUGCUCGGAAUUAUUGGGCGUAAAGCGCACGUAGGCGGUUGUGCAAGACAGAUGUGAAAUCCCCGGGCUCAACCUGGGAACUGCAUUUGUGACUGCACGGCUAGAGUGUGUCAGAGGGGGGUAGAAUUCCACGUGUAGCAGUGAAAUGCGUAGAUAUGUGGAGGAAUACCGAUGGCGAAGGCAGCCCCCUGGGAUAACACUGACGCUCAUGCACGAAAGCGUGGGGAGCAAACAGG
rnacentral:rRNA from 1 species